UUUUCCCCCUUCUCUUCGGGAAGUCGCUAUUGCGAUUCCGGACACAUAAUUCACCUCAACCCACCGAACAUCUGCACGAUGUUCGAGCUUUUCGACGGUCCGAACUGUAACAUGUUUAUUAUUAUUUCGGGAUGGCGGAGAAGGAGCAUUUCGGACUGGCUGGAAGAAAGACACACUCACCCGAUGUUUGUCAUGAAAUUGUCAACCCCGUUAACUUACGAUCGGGCGUGGAGUGACAUUCUCCAGCGGGCCCGCACCUGCGUCCCUCACACCAUUAAAUGUUUCAGUUCAGAGAUAUAGAAGAAUGUU
rnacentral:lncRNA from 1 species